rnacentral:tRNA from 1 species
AUAGUGGUCUGUUGCGGGCGAUUAGCUCAGUUGGUUAGAGCGCCACCUUUACACGGUGGAUGUCAGGGGUUCGA